rnacentral:rRNA from 1 species
UCUAGCUUGCUGGAAGAUGACGAGCGGCGGACGGGUGAGUAAUGCUUGGGAAUAUGCCUUAGGGUGGGGGACAACAGUUGGAAACGACUGCUAAUACCGCAUAACGUCUACGGACCAAAGGGGGCUUCGGCUCUCGCCCUUAGAUUAGCCCAAGUGGGAUUAGCUAGUUGGUGAGGUAAUGGCUCACCAAGGCGACGAUCCCUAGCUGGUUUGAGAGGAUGAUCAGCCACACUGGAACUGAGACACGGUCCAGACUCCUACGGGAGGCAGCAGUGGGGAAUAUUGCACAAUGGGCGCAAGCCUGAUGCAGCCAUGCCGCGUGUGUGAAGAAGGCCUUAGGGUUGUAAAGCACUUUCAGUAAGGAGGAAAGGUUAGUAGUUAAUACCUGCUAGCUGUGACGUUACUUACAGAAGAAGCACCGGCUAACUCCGUGCCAGCAGCCGCGGUAAUACGGAGGGUGCGAGCGUUAAUCGGAAUUACUGGGCGUAAAGCGUGCGCAGGCGGUUUGUUAAGCGAGAUGUGAAAGCCCCGGGCUCAACCUGGGAACUGCAUUUCGAACUGGCAAACUAGAGUAUG